UACGAAGGGGGCUAGCGUUGCUCGGAUUGACUGGGCGUAAAGGGCGCGUAGGCGGCGGACACAGUCAGACGUGAAAUUCCUGGGCUCAACCUGGGGGCUGCGUUUGAUACAUGUUCGCUUGAGUUCGGAAGAGGGUCGUGGAAUUCCCAGUGUAGAGGUGAAAUUCGUAGAUAUUGGGAAGAACACCGGUGGCGAAGGCGGCGACCUGGUCCGAUACUGACGCUGAGGCGCGAAAGCGUGGGGAGCGAACAGG
rnacentral:rRNA from 1 species